rnacentral:RNase_P_RNA from 1 species
GGUUGAUUGCUGCACAAUGUGUAGAGGAAAGUCCAUACUAUCACUAGCUGAGAUGUUAGUAAUGUUUAUGUAGGUAUAUAAAAAAUAAAACCUAGUACUUGAAAGAGUAACAACGAAAGAAGGCCUAAGUUUUUUAAAUAUGGUGCGGAUUUCAUAAAGUGCCACAGUGACGAUGUAUAACGAAAGUUAUAAAGUGAAACGCGGUAAACUUCAUAAGGUAGAAACCCAAAUUUGGUAGGGGAACUUUUUUAGGAUAAAUGAAUCUAUAAAAUCGAUGGAAACAUAGAUAAAUAAUCAACGCUUCUCUGAAGUACAAAAUAUGGCUUAUA